rnacentral:rRNA from 1 species
GACGAACGCUGGCGGCGUGCUUAACACAUGCAAGUCGAACGGAAAGGCCCUGCUUUUGUGGGGUGCUCGAGUGGCGAACGGGUGAGUAACACGUGAGUAACCUGCCCUUGACUUUGGGAUAACUUCAGGAAACUGGGGCUAAUACCGGAUAGGAGCUCCUGCUGCAUGGUGGGGGUUGGAAAGUUUCGGCGGUUGGGGAUGGACUCGCGGCCUAUCAGCUUGUUGGUGGGGUAGUGGCUUACCAAGGCUUUGACGGGUAGCCGGCCUGCGAGGGUGACCGGCCACAGUGGGACUGAGAUACGGCCCAGACUCCUACGGGAGGCAGCAGUGGGGAAUAUUGCACAAUGGGCGGAAGCCUGAUGCAGCAACGCCGCGUGCGGGAUGACGGCCUUCGGGUUGGAAACCGCUUUCGCCUGUGACGAAGCGUGAGUGACGGUAAUGGGUAAAGAAGCACCGGCUAACUACGUG